GUGUUUGUAAAAAGAAUAGAUGGUUGAAAUCUCCUCCUACAAGGACGAAAACAACCUUCAGGUUUUACCUGUUACCACACAUCCGUUUAAGGCAUUCCAAGUUGGUGGGACUAAAAAAGAAUGUGA